ACGAACGCUGGCGGCAUGCCUAACACAUGCAAGUCGAACGAGACCUUCGGGUCUAGUGGCGCACGGGUGCGUAACGCGUGGGAACCUGCCCUUAGGUUCGGAAUAACUCCCCGAAAGGGGUGCUAAUACCGGAUAAUGUCUUCGAACCAAAGAUUUAUCGCCUUUGGAUGGGCCCGCGUUGGAUUAGCUAGUUGGUAGGGUAAAAGCCUACCAAGGCGACGAUCCAUAGCUGGUCUGAGAGGAUGAUCAGCCACACUGGGACUGAGACACGGCCCAGACUCCUACGGGAGGCAGCAGUGGGGAAUAUUGGACAAUGGGCGAAAGCCUGAUCCAGCAAUGCCGCGUGAGUGAUGAAGGCCUUAGGGUUGUAAAGCUCUUUUACCCGGGAUGAUAAUGACAGUACCGGGAGAAUAAGCUCCGGCUAACUCCGUG
rnacentral:rRNA from 1 species